UCUCCGCCGCCGUGCUGAUAUUUCUCCUUCAAUCAAUUUUCCGGCACUCCCAAUUAGGAUCGACAAACCCUAUCUCUUGCAGGGUCCUUCUGCUUGGAAAAUCCACUGGCUUUGAGGUUCUCCGAUGGACACGCAGGUCGUUGACCAAUUCGCUCUCCUUUUCCAUGGCGGCGUUUGUCAACUCUUCGGCGGCGCUCGUUGAUUGGAACGACCUCCUAAUCGACUGGUACGAUGUCCAUCACCUCCUCUCCUCUUCUCUGCGGGUGUCUCAACCUCUCCCGCACGAAUUCCGAUCACCCUGACCUGGAACCGGAGCUCGAGAGCGAAAUUAGGCAAGUGAGCAGUAGGACCUUUGUGGUGAUGUAGAGGCUUGACGUAGCGAUACUAGAGAUGAUGAUUUCUGAUCGGUUAUUUAUUUGCUUUGUUGAGAUUGGAAUAAUUUUAUAUCGAAUCCGAUUAUUUUUAAAUACGGUAACCAUUGGUCUCGAGUAGGUACAUUUUCGCGUGUGGCAAAGUUAAAUGGAGGAUGGAUGAAUCUAUCAGUGAAUUCCACAUUUCCUUCAGUGAUAUUGUCUUCAGAAAUCAAUAGCUAUUCCAUGGAUUCCUCAUCAUUUUAAUGGGGGCAGUAUAUAGAAAGAAGAGAGAUGAAAUGUGAAGAAAGAUUAUUAUCAGGUGGUUUUAAUCAAAGGAAAGAAUAGAAAUUGUGGCAAGGAUAUAGAGAAAAUUCUAGAAGAUUAGGUCAAUAAAUAGGGAACUUUGUCCUUGAGGGCCAAAUCCAAUCCAAGUAUUUUUGGAAGGAGCAAAUGCCAUGGAAUAGUAGCCAGUCGCCAUUUAUGAUCUCUGUGCUUUGGGAAUUAGUUUAGAUACUUCUGGUUGAAAACGUGUGCUGCAGCUCCUGUUUCACUAGAACUGAAGUUCAGUAAACUAUGGCAGAAAUGGAUUAACUUGUGUUUAUGGAAUGUUCAUUUUGUUAUAUCCUCCUAAGCUCGUCAUUCUGGUCCGGCUUCUGUGUCCUUUUUCUUUUCAUUCUUCGUUUUGCAUUACUUUCAAAGUUUGCAGGAUAAUCUAUUGUGUACCAGUUGCAUCAUUCAGACAAUCAAGUAAGAUGUUUAUCUGUUGUACACUACAGGCUUUGUAGUUCUUUUUAAUCUUUAUUGUACUGCGUCUAACCUAAACCUUUUUUUUUGGUUCUGGGUUUGUCUGAUUCUGGAAUGACAUUCAGAAAACUGAUUUCAUUAUUUACGUUUUUGUAUCCCGGAUUUGAAUGAUGUUUCAGAACACGCACAUGCUGGUGGUUUCAAUUCUGUCCCCUUUACAUAUGAAAGUACCAGUGAGUCCAAUGACCAGAAGAAUGCUGAUACAGAAUCUUGAUUCCAUCCGCCUCUCACUGUGCCUGAAACUUUACUUUUAAACCUGACCCUAAAGCUAGUGGUGAGGACCCUUCUUUAGGACGAAAUGAGACAAACCAAGUGUGGGAAGGAGAUGAGAGCCAAAACCCGUGCGAUGUUGUUGACCGAUAGACAAAGAUGAGUGAGGGAAAGCAUAAAGUCAGCCACAAGGGAAGGGGAGGAAAGGUCCAUUGAAUGGAAUAAACGGAAGACAAGAGAAGGAAAAACCGAAAGUGAAUCACUUUUGGUGACGCAGGAGUUGCUACCAUGGUAAGGUAAGGUAUAGCCACUACUUUCUUUUAAUUUUAUUUUAAAAUAUUUUUAUUAUAAUUAUAACAUAGGAAAGAAGAAUAAGAAGAAGAAUGGAGGGAUUUGAUUGGAUCGGCGUUUGCUUGAAACAUACCCCUCUUCUUCCCGGCCCAAAAACUCGACCCUUGAAGGAAUAUCACACUUUUCAGCCUAUCUUUUGUUUCCCUUUCCAAGUUUUGUAUCAUUCAUUGGCCAUUGCUUGCUUAGCUUGCAUCCUCUCUCUCUCUCUCUUUGGCCAGUUGGGAUUCUAAAGAAUUUCAGGUUGGGGGGUUUCUCUUGCUUUGGACGCUUCUUGCCAUCUUUUAAAAAAGAUUACAAUGGCAGCUGCUGGGCUUUUUUUUAAAAUUAUCCAGGAAUUGUAAUCAUUUUUAUCUUUU